rnacentral:rRNA from 1 species
UACGUAGGGUGCAAGCGUUAAUCGGAAUUACUGGGCGUAAAGCGUGCGCAGGCGGUUGUGCAAGACAGAUGUGAAAAUCCCCGGGCUCAACCUGGGAACCUGCAUUUGUGACUGCACGGCUAGAGUGUGUCAGAGGGGGGGUAGAAUUCCACGUGUAGCAGUGAAAUGCGUAGAGAUGUGGAGGAAUACCGAUGGCGAAGGCAGCCCCCUGGGAUAGCACUGACGCUCAUGCACGAAAGCGUGGGGAGCAAACAGG